rnacentral:rRNA from 1 species
CGCCAGACUCCUACGGGAGGCAGCAGUGAGGAAUAUUGGUCAAUGGGCGAGAGCCUGAACCAGCCAAGUCGCGUGAGGGAUGACGGCCCUACGGGUUGUAAACCUCUUUUGUCGGGGAGCAAAUUCCGCCACGUGUGGCGGAGUCGAGAGUACCCGAAGAAAAAGCAUCGGCUAACUCCGUGCCAGCAGCCGCGGUAAUACGGAGGAUGCGAGCGUUAUCCGGAUUUAUUGGGUUUAAAGGGUGCGUAGGCGGAACAUUAAGUCAGCGGUAAAAUCGAGGGGCUCAACCCCUUUAAGCCGUUGAAACUGGUGAUCUUGAGUGGGCGAGAAGUAUGCGGAAUGCGUGGUGUAGCGGUGAAAUGCAUAGAUAUCACGCAGAACUCCGAUUGCGAAGGCAGCAUACCGGCGCCCGACUGACGCUGAGGCACGAAAGCGUGGGGAUCGAACAGGAUUAGAUACCCGCGUA